UACGUAGGGUGCAAGCGUUGUCCGGAAUUAUUGGGCGUAAAGAGCUUGUAGGCGGCCACCGCGCGUCGGACGUGAAAUCUCCCGGCUCAACUGGGAGGGGUCGUGCGAUACGGCGGGGCUCGAGGCCGGUAGGGGGACGCGGAAUUCCCGGUGUAGUGGUGGAAUGCGUAGAUAUCGGGAGGAACACCAGUGGCGCAGGCGGCGUCCUGGACCGGCACUGACGCUGAGGCGCGAAAGCCAGGGGAGCAAACGGG
rnacentral:rRNA from 1 species